rnacentral:rRNA from 1 species
CCUACGGGAGGCAGCAGUGAGGAAUAUUGCUCAAUGGGCGCGAGCCUGAACCAGCCAAGUCGCGUGAAGGAUGACGGCCCUACGGGUUGUAAACUUCUUUUGUCAGGGAGCAAGUGGGUCCACGCGUGGGCUUAGCGAGAGUCCCUAAAGAAAAAGCAUCGGCUAACUCGGUGCCAGCAGCCGCGGUAAUACGGAGGAUGCGAGCGUUAUCGGGAUUUAUUGGGUUUAAAGGGUGCGUAGGCGGAAUAUAAGGUCAGCGGUAAAAAUUCGGGGCGGAACCCCGUCGUGCCGUUGAAACUGACGUUCUUGAGUGGGCGAGAAGUAUGCGGAAUGCGUGGUGUAGCGGUGAAAUGCAUAGAUAUCACGCAGAACUCCGAUUGCGAAGGCAGCAUACCGGCGCCCAACUGACGCUGAAGCACGAAAGCGUGGGGAUCGAACAGGAUUAGAUACCCCUGUAGUC